rnacentral:lncRNA from 1 species
UAAACACUAUAAAUCACUUACAAGCAGUAGCGACUCUCCACCACUAAACACUAUAAAUCAUAAAAAGAUGACGCACUAGCAAAAUUUUUUUUGACAAAGGACGCACUAGCGAAUUUAAUGCAAAUGAAAACGUAUGCCAUAACAAACUUGAAGUUUCUCAAGAAUGUUAACUUCAGUAGAGCAUAAGAAAAGCUAACCCGCCACACUGUUUAACAUUUGCAACAGACAAUGUUGCUGAAAUGACGAGAUAUAGCCAACACCCCACCCUUUUAAAUCGAUCUGCAUAAGAUGCUGCACUUGCGUUCUGGGCCUCCCAUUAAGAGGUUUCAGUGGGGAAAUAUUGAAUCCACCACCUGCAAGUGGUGAUAAUUGGUUAGCAUAUAUGUUCUGGGCCUCCCAUUAAGAGGUUUCAUUGGGGAAAUAUUGAAUCCACCACCUGCAAGUGGUGAU